rnacentral:rRNA from 1 species
GGGUUGUGAGGUUAAGCGACUAAGCGUACACGGUGGAUGCCCUGGCAGUCAGAGGCGAUGAAGGGCGUGCUAAUCUGCGAUAAGCGCCGGUAAGGUGAUAUGAACCGUUAUAACCGGCGAUACCCGAAUGGGGAAACCCAGUGUGACUCGUCACACUAUCAUUAACUGAAUCCAUAGGUUAAUGAGGCGAACCGGGGGAACUGAAACAUCUAAGUACCCCGAGGAAAAGAAAUCAACCGAGAUUCCCCCAGUAGCGGCGAGCGAACGGGGAGGAGCCCAGAGCCUGAAUCAGCAUGUGUGUUAGUGGAAGCGUCUGGAAAGGCGCGCGAUACAGGGUGACAGCCCCGUACACAAAAGCGCAUGUGCUGUGAGCUCGAUGAGUAGGGCGGGACACGUGGUAUCCUGUCUGAAUAUGGGGGGACCAUCCUCCAAGGCUAAAUACUCCUGACUGACCGAUAGUGAACCAGUACCGUGAGGGAAAGGCGAAAAGAACCCCGGCGAGGGGAGUGAAAAAGAACCUGAAACCGUGUACGUACAAGCAGUGGGAGCCCCACCACUAAGCCAGUGGUGAACUCCACAUACGCAUCCUUUGCUGAGGAUGCGGUUAACGGAGCGAAAGCGACGUUCAACCGCAAAAGAAGCAGAGGGGGCUUAGUGGUGGGGUGACUGCGUACCUUUUGUAUAAUGGGUCAGCGACUUAUAUUCUGUAGCAAGGUUAACCGAAUAGGGGAGCCGGAGGGAAACCGAGUCUUAAUUGGGCGUUAAGUUGCAGGGUAUAGACCCGAAACCCGGUGAUCUAGCCAUGGGCAGGUUGAAGGUUGGGUAACACUAACUGGAGGACCGAACCGACUAAUGUUGAAAAAUUAGCGGAUGACCUGUGGCUGGGGGUGAAAGGCCAAUCAAACCGGGAGAUAGCUGGUUCUCCCCGAAAGCUAUUUAGGUAGCGCCUCGUGAAUUCAUCUCCGGGGGUAGAGCACUGUUUCGGCUAGGGGGCCAUCCCGGCUUACCAACCCGAUGCAAACUGCGAAUACCGGAGAAUGUUAUCACGGGAGACACACGGCGGGUGCUAACGUCCGUCGUGAAGAGGGAAACAACCCAGACCGCCAGCUAAGGUCCCAAAGUCAUGGUUAAGUGGGAAACGAUGUGGGAAGGCCCAGACAGCCAGGAUGUUGGCUUAGAAGCAGCCAUCAUUUAAAGAAAGCGUAAUAGCUCACUGGUCGAGUCGGCCUGCGCGGAAGAUGUAACGGGGCUAAACCAUGCACCGAAGCUGCGGCAGCGACACUAUGUGUUGUUGGGUAGGGGAGCGUUCUGUAAGCCUGUGAAGGUGGCCUGUGAGGGUUGCUGGAGGUAUCAGAAGUGCGAAUGCUGACAUAAGUAACGAUAAAGCGGGUGAAAAGCCCGCUCGCCGGAAGACCAAGGGUUCCUGUCCAACGUUAAUCGGGGCAGGGUGAGUCGACCCCUAAGGCGAGGCCGAAAGGCGUAGUCGAUGGGAAACGGGUUAAUAUUCCCGUACUUGGUGUUACUGCGAAGGGGGGACGGAGAAGGCUAUGUUGGCCGGGCGACGGUUGUCCCGGUUUAAGCGUGUAGGCUGGUUUUCCAGGCAAAUCCGGAAAAUCAAGGCUGAGGCGUGACGACGAGGCACUACGGUGCUGAAGCAACAAAUGCCCUGCUUCCAGGAAAAGCCUCUAAGCAUCAGGUAACAUCAAAUCGUACCCCAAACCGACACAGGUGGUCAGGUAGAGAAUACCAAGGCGCUUGAGAGAACUCGGGUGAAGGAACUAGGCAAAAUGGUGCCGUAACUUCGGGAGAAGGCACGCUGACAUGUAGGUGAAGUGAUUUACUCAUGGAGCUGAAGUCAGUCGAAGAUACCAGCUGGCUGCAACUGUUUAUUAAAAACACAGCACUGUGCAAACACGAAAGUGGACGUAUACGGUGUGACGCCUGCCCGGUGCCGGAAGGUUAAUUGAUGGGGUCAGCGCAAGCGAAGCUCCUGAUCGAAGCCCCGGUAAACGGCGGCCGUAACUAUAACGGUCCUAAGGUAGCGAAAUUCCUUGUCGGGUAAGUUCCGACCUGCACGAAUGGCGUAAUGAUGGCCAGGCUGUCUCCACCCGAGACUCAGUGAAAUUGAACUCGCUGUGAAGAUGCAGUGUACCCGCGGCAAGACGGAAAGACCCCGUGAACCUUUACUAUAGCUUGACACUGAACAUUGAGCCUUGAUGUGUAGGAUAGGUGGGAGGCUUUGAAGUGUGGACGCCAGUCUGCAUGGAGCCGGCCUUGAAAUACCACCCUUUAAUGUUUGAUGUUCUAACGUGGACCCGUAAUCCGGGUUGCGGACAGUGUCUGGUGGGUAGUUUGACUGGGGCGGUCUCCUCCUAAAGAGUAACGGAGGAGCACGAAGGUUGGCUAAUCCUGGUCGGACAUCAGGAGGUUAGUGCAAUGGCAUAAGCCAGCUUGACUGCGAGCGUGACGGCGCGAGCAGGUGCGAAAGCAGGUCAUAGUGAUCCGGUGGUUCUGAAUGGAAGGGCCAUCGCUCAACGGAUAAAAGGUACUCCGGGGAUAACAGGCUGAUACCGCCCAAGAGUUCAUAUCGACGGCGGUGUUUGGCACCUCGAUGUCGGCUCAUCACAUCCUGGGGCUGAAGUAGGUCCCAAGGGUAUGGCUGUUCGCCAUUUAAAGUGGUACGCGAGCUGGGUUUAGAACGUCGUGAGACAGUUCGGUCCCUAUCUGCCGUGGGCGCUGGAGAACUGAGGGGGGCUGCUCCUAGUACGAGAGGACCGGAGUGGACGCAUCACUGGUGUUCGGGUUGUCAUGCCAAUGGCACUGCCCGGUAGCUAAAUGCGGAAGAGAUAAGUGCUGAAAGCAUCUAAGCACGAAACUUGCCCCGAGAUGAGUUCUCCCUGAGACUUUAGGUCUCCUGAAGGAACGUUGAAGACGACGACGUUGAUAGGCCGGGUGUGUAAGCGCAGCGAUGCGUUGAGCUAACCGGUACUAAUGAACCGUGAGGCUUAACCUUACAACGCCGAAG